AAGAUUGCUCACAUCCCAUACUUGCUUUUGUUUUCCGCAGAUGAUUCACAAGCCUCUACUUUUUCAGCAGGACCAAAGUGGAAAAACCUUAAGAACUUUCUUCAAGUACCCCAGAUGUGCUGCAAAUGAAUGUCAGUGUUGUGGCGGUAACUUCAUUUUCUUCAGUUAUUUCUACGCUCAGGACAUGAACAAAGUAGAAAUAAAUACAGAAAGAGGGGAAAAACAAUCCUUAGCUCCUUUUUAAACUUUGCCAUGUUGCAAAAAGACAAGCAUUAAAAGGUUUUAUAGAAGCAGUCAAACUUGACACAGCCAUAUAUGGUAAACACAAAGCAUAAACAAGCUUUUAUUUUCUAUUGUUGAUUAAAAUAAGCUUAAUUCAAACUGUGAAAGACUAGAAAACCUGAACUACAGAUCGGACAAAGAAGAAAAUUCAUCAGUGAAAGGCUGCUAAGAUCAUGGGGAUUGGAUUUAUAGCUUCCCGGUAACAGAGGUAAAACUUCCUCUUCCACAUCUUGCUACUACUCAAGAUUUCAUAUUUAUUUGCCAAUCAAGUUGGUGUGACAAACUGAUGCAGCAGAGGAAAAGCCUCCAUCUUGCAGAACCUUUGAAGCCUCAGGUCUUUGGUCAUGAGAAAAGCAUGGUAACUGCCUGAGCUUCCUAUGAGAGCUGAGUGACUCUGUUCCAAACACCACAGCCAAAAGAGAAUGUUGUCCCUUUUAUCUCUAUCUACUACUCCAAUUGCUGCUUUCUGUCAUCUAGCUUCCCAAGAGGCAUACAACUUUUCUUGACAAACACUCUCACUUUCGUAAGCAGACCUUUGUUGUACCAGAACCAAGGAUAUACUUGCUUUUUCAUUAACAAAUUCUAGAGUUGCAAUACGGAGCAGUUUUACUUGUGCUAAUGGGUUCAACUGCUUUUGUCCAAAGAGAUGUCAAUUUCUACGUUUCCAAAUAAACCAACCAGCUUUGGUAUAUAAAAUGCUCUUAUAUGCAUUGAUUCAUAUAUGAUAUUGAAGUUUAAUUU